CGCGUAGGCGGCUCAGCAAGUGAGGUGUGAAAGCCCCUGGCUCAACCAGGGAACUGCGCCUCAAACUGCUGAACUUGAGGGCAGGAGAGGAAACGGGAAUUCCCGGUGUAGCGGUGAAAUGCACUGAUAUCGGGAGGAACACCAGUGGCGAAGGCGCGUUUCUGGCCUGCUCCUGACGCUGAGGCGCGAAAGCUAGGGGAGCAAACA
rnacentral:rRNA from 1 species